rnacentral:rRNA from 1 species
CAGUCGCCGCGGUAAUACGAAGGGUGCAAGCGUUACUCGGAAUUACUGGGCGUAAAGCGUGCGUAGGUGGUUGUUUAAGUCUGCUGUGAAAGCCCUGGGCUCAACCUGGGAAUUGCAGUGGAUACUGGGCAACUAGAGUAAGGUAGAGGAUAGUGGAAUUUCCGGUGUAGCAGUGAAAUGCGUAGAGAUCGGAAGGAACAUCUGUGGCGAAGGCGACUAUCUGGGCCAUUACUGACACUGAGGCACGAAAGCGUGGGGAGCAAACAGGAUUAGAUACCCCCGAAGUCCCUGUCUCUUAUAC